rnacentral:rRNA from 1 species
ACUCCUACGGGAGGCAGCAGUGGGGAAUAUUGCGCAAUGGGCGAAAGCCUGACGCAGCGACGCCGCGUGAGGGAUGAAGGCCUUCGGGUUGUAAACCUCUUUCAGCGCAGAAGAAGCGAAAGUGACGGUAUGCGCAGAAGAAGCACCGGCUAACUACGUGCCAGCAGCCGCGGUAAUACGUAGGGUGCAAGCGUUGUCCGGAAUUAUUGGGCGUAAAGAGCUCGUAGGCGGUUUGUCGCGUCUGCUGUGAAAACCUGGGGCGUUAACCCUGGCCUGGCAGUGGUACGGGGCAGACGUAGAGUGCAGUAGGGAGAGCUGGAAUUCCUGGUGUAGCGGUGGAAUGCGCAGAUAUCAGGAGGAACACCGGUGGCGAAGGCGGGUCUCUGGACAAAGACUGACGCUCAGGCACGAAAGCGUGGGGAGCAAACAGGAUUAGAUACCCUGGUAGGACAGUG